CUCCACACUUUCCAGAUGAGCAAUGGAACACGAACCUCUGUGAAUCUGUAACGCGCUACAAUUUUGGUUUCGUAUUUGUUUAUUACUCACGGAGGGAAGCUCCACCGCUCCGCACUUCACCCAGAGCUCCUCACGGUGACACUCACGGCUAUUUUCAGGCCACCAGCUGUCAUGAUGUCACUCCCGGUCCAUCCGAUAGUGGCCUGAGAUCGUUUUAUUUGUCCGAAGAGGACGAAACCACACCUCCCACAUCAGGAAACCAUUCCGUUGAACUUCCUUUUCUGCUUCCAAGAUGCAUUCUUCUGGACGUGACCGAGACAGAGACCGGAUUUUUGCAUUGCUUCAUGAGAAAACAGGCACUUGUAAUUUCUCUGGCCUGAGUUACACCCUCUCUAACAGCCAGUGUGUUGGUUUUGGUUCUGGUUCUGAUCCUGCUCGAAAAUAGAAACAGAAAAUAAAUGAUAGUCUUAGCUAUAAAAAUAGCGUUGCUACAAAUUUGGAAAUUCUUAAUUACUUUUCAGCUUCUCUUUGGUCCUUCAUGCAACACUGAGACACCUAACACAGGAAAUACGU
ensembl:lncRNA